GUUUGUGACAGCGCGUCGCAAACACGACGGCGGCGUGAUGUGUGCGGAGCGGCGGUUGCGUUCGUGUGCCCCAUCGAUAGACGAUGCCGGCGGCAUAUACAAUCCUUUCUCUGUGGCGGCACCGUAAUCCUCGGUGCGGCACGCAGCCGCAGUUGAACAAAGUGGACACUGUACUGGAAUAUUCCGAAACCGGCAGAUUAUGGAAGGCCAGAUUAUAAUGGCAACGAUCAUUUUCUUUCGGUUUCCUCGGUUUCUUUUUUUCUUUUUUCUUGCAGGCUAACGGUUGCGCCGAGUUGUCGGAUCUCGGCGAUAACGGCUGUUGCGGUCAAAUGGCGACGAGCGAUGACGUACGGCGCACGAAGGGAAGAUGCCUGGGCACAGCAGCGCACGCGCCGACAGCUGAGAAUCGUGCUUAAAUUUUGCUACAAGAAGCGGCCGCCGAGUGAGCCGCCCGUCAUUUUGCGUUUCACGCCGCAGCCGCCUGUAUCAGACGAACCUCUGCAACUUAUUGUAUAUGCUCCGGCAGCGAUUCUCGACACUCGGCGCGGUGUCUGCCACUUCACCGACCCCGAAACAGCCAUGGGUUCCGCCGCUAGCCUUCUGCUGUGUGGCGUGCUUCGAAGCUUUUAGUCGCGGCUGCUCCAGUUAUGGCCAGUACUUCUGCAACUGCGGUUACGGGACUCUGUUUAGCUCCGGAAUUCUCGCACGGCCCAUUGGAGCGCCCAGAAUACGUAUGCGAGGCGCGGCGGCCAUUCCAUUCGUUCUUAAGCACGAGCUGUCACGUCUGACGCCGACGACGCCCUGCCGAUAAGGUCUCAAGUCGCGCCUGCCAUGGUCUUUUCUUUUGUGCGCGUGUUCCCGCCAACGAACUGACCGUGUCAUCUAACCGAGGGACAACGAAGCAACUGUCGUCGCCACGUGCUUCAACUACCUUGUGAGGCGAUGCUUGUGCAACCAAAUGACCGUGGCACUACCCUGGAGGACGACGGAGCAUCUGUCGCCGUAGCGUCGCUUCGGCAUCUAAUCGACGAGGUGGGAAGUGUUUAGCUUGCGAGGGCGGCGCGGCCAUUAACUUCCUCAUCAAAACUGAUUGACAACAUUGGCAAAUUAUAUGUAGUUAACUGUAGUGCCCGAUUAGGCACGAGCUUCCAUAAACGGCCGCAGCCACAUCGGGUCGUCGCCGUGACGGAAACGGAGAGGACGGGGUGGGGCGAUUCAAGCUUCAGGCUUAGCUAACACUAGGAAGGUAGCUGGCGUUGCGCGUAGGCCACAGCUGGCAGGAGUCCUCUACCUCGUUUGCGACACGGCCAUCGGCCCUUUCCGAGUGCUAUCGCUUCCCGGCCGCAGUUUCGCGUCCACGCGCGCGAAAGGGCGCGAAAUGUGGAACCGCGGAAGUCGGUGGCAUGCGGAAUUAGCUUCAGGCUAACCAGUGUCGUAUUACUUCCAGUUCAUCUAGCUACGCUGAAGAACGGACGUUGCCUUCGGUCCGCAGCGCGGCGCGUUGCGGCCAAAGUACGUGGCCACUUUCCCAUUCUUCAUGUCACGCUGUUUUUGUCGCUCGACACGCGGACCAUGUUCGACGAGUUCAUCUAUACCACGGCUCGUGCGCUGACGCUUUUUAUGGUGAGUACCUACUUUCUGGUUAUAUUUGUAAUUUGAAAACAUGGCCUUUUUUUUUUUUUUUUUUUAGCUUCAAGUACGCAUUCUACACUUCCCCUUCUGGCCCACUCCAGCAACAUCUCUGCGCCUAAAGUGCCCCACACAGUGUGCUGCACGACGCUCCGUGGAAUACGUCGACUGCGCGUAAGUAAAUCGGAGUUCGUCUGGCCCUUCUGUGGAAUUGUGCUGACGAUUGCUUAACACGGCUCCUCCUUGUCGUUUCAGUUCCCCAGCCUUGGCCAUCAGUCACGUGCGGCGGAUUUUCCAUGGCCCUGCCGUGUCCCUGCCGCAUGACGUUCAGCGUACCUCAUCCGGCCGUCUGAACACUAAUGCUCCGGACUCACAGCUACUGGCUUCCUGGCGAAUGAAGACACCUGCCCGACCCGCCCUCGAGCACGUAGUCUUCGCAUAAGUCAAUCGGAGUUCGUCUGGCCCUUCUGUGGUAUUGUGCUGACGAGUGCUUAACACGGCUCCUCCUUGUCGUUUCAGUUCCCCAGCCUUGGCCAUCAGUCACGUGCGGCGGAUUUUCCAUGGCCCUGCCGUGUCCCUGCCGCAUGACGUUCAGCGUACCUCAUCCGGCCGUCUGAACACUAAUGCUCCGGACUCACAGCUACUGGCUUCCUGGCGAAUGAAGACACCUGCCCGACCCGCCCUCGAGCACGUCGACUUUGCUUCCCCAGCCUUGGCCAUCAGUCACGUGCGGCCGAUUUUCCUGGGCCCAGCCGUAGGUCCCUGCCGCAUGACGUUCAGCGCACCUCGUCCGACCGUCUGAACACUAAUGCUCCGGACUCACAGCUACUGGCUUCCUGGCGAAUGAAGACACCUGCCCGACCCGCCCUCGAGCACGUCGA